CACACGGUGGCUUAGUGGUUAUAUACAUCCGCCUCACACCUCCAGGCUCUGGGGUUCGAUUCCCGCCGUGUGU